rnacentral:rRNA from 1 species
UGGAAGUAAAAGUCGUAACAAGGUUUCCGUAGGUGAACCUGCGGAAGGAUCAUUAAUGAAUUUUAGGACUCUCUUUUUAGAGGUCCGACCCUUUCAUUUCCAUACACUGUGCACACACUUCUUUUCACACAUUUUAACACUAUAGUAUAAGAAUGUAACAGUCUCUUUAUUGAGCAUAAAUAAAAAUAAAACUUUCAGCAACGGAUCUCUUGGCUCUCGCAUCGAUGAAGAACGCAGCGAAUUGCGAUAAGUAAUGUGAAUUGCAGAAUUCAGUGAAUCAUCGAAUCUUUGAACGCACCUUGCACUCUUUGGUAUUCCGAAGAGUAUGUCUGUUUGAGUGUCAUGAAACUCUCAACCCCCCUAUUUUGUAAUGAGAUGGGCGUGGGCUUGGAUUAUGACUGCUGUCGGCGUAAUUGCCGGCUCAGUUGAAAUACACGAGCAACCCAUUUGAAAUAAACGGCUUGACUCGGCGUAAUAAUUAUUUCGCUGAGGACGUUUUCUUCAAAAGUUAGAGGUGCUUCUAAUGCGCUAUUACAGCACUUUAAAUUUUAGACCUCAAAUCA